GCGGUAGUGGCGGAAUGGCAGACGCGCUAGGUUGAGGGCCUAGUGGGGGUUACCCCGUGGAGGUUCAAGUCCUCUUUACCGCACCA
rnacentral:tRNA from 1 species